rnacentral:lncRNA from 1 species
UAGAAUUUGACUAGUUAUAAUUAUGAUUAUAUAUGUUUGAACUAUUGAGGCUUGAUUGAGAUUGACUGAAAUAGAUGAAUAUGGAUUUUUAUUGAACAGUGUGAAGCAUACAGUGUGAAUUGUGAUUAUUGAAUGAAUAUGGAUUGAACGAUAAGGUAUAGGACCUAGUGGAGUGUUAGGUCAUCAUCUAGGUAGGGUCUGACAAACCUAAUAUGAUUGGG